UUAUAUCAUCAUUCAGAUGUG
rnacentral:piRNA from 1 species